rnacentral:rRNA from 1 species
AUUGAACGCUGGCGGCAUGCCUUACACAUGCAAGUCGAACGGCAGCACGGGGCAACCUGGUGGCGAGUGGCGAACGGGUGAGUAAUGCAUCGGAACGUACCCGGAAGUGGGGGAUAACGUAGCGAAAGUUACGCUAAUACCGCAUAUUCUGUGCGCAGGAAAGAGGGGGAUCUUCGGACCUCUUGCUUUCGGAUCGGGCGAUGUCAGAUUAGCUAGUUGGUGAGGUAAAGGCUCACCAAGGCGACGAUCUGUAGCGGGUCUGAGAGGAUGAUCCGCCACACUGGAACUGAGACACGGUCCAGACUCCUACGGGAGGCAGCAGUGGGGAAUUUUGGACAAUGGGCGCAAGCCUGAUCCAGCCAUGCCGCGUGAGUGAAGAAGGCCUUCGGGUUGUAAAGCUCUUUCGGCCGGGAAGAAAUCGCAUGGAUUAAUACUCUGUGCGGAUGACGGUACCGGCAUAAGAAGCACCGGCUAACUACGUGCCAGCCGCCGCCGUAAAAC